rnacentral:lncRNA from 14 species
GUCUCACCUGUGUCUCACUUGUUCUUACCUGUCUGUACGUGUCUGUAUCUGUGUCUCACCUGUCUCACUUGUCCAGCCUGAUCACAGUGCAGGAGAGCACCUGGAGCUCACCUGGGGCUGUUCCUGGAGCUGUUCCCCUGGGUCACCUGGGGCUGUUUUCAGGUGUUACCUGUCUGUACCUAUCUGUACUUGUGUUUAACUGUCCUUACCUGUCUCACCUGUGUCUCACCUGUGUCUCACCUGUGUCUCACCUGUCUCCCUUCUCAGCCUGGUCACAGUGGAGGAGAACACCUGGAGCUCACCUGGGGCUGUUCCUGGGGCUGUUCCCCUCUGUUCCCUGUCCUCACCUGCCCAUACUUGUCUGUACCUGUCCAUACCUGUCCUUACCUGUCCUGACCUGUCUGUACCUGUCUCUCACCUGUGCAGAUCGAUCUCUGAGCACACGGUGCAGGAGAACACCUGGAGCUCACCUGGGGCUGUUCCUGGGGCUGUUCCCCUGGGUUAGCCGUCUGUACGUAUCCGUACCUGUCCGUACCUGCCUCACCUGUGUGUCACCUGUGUCCCCGCAGCCAGCGGCGGCUGCUGCUGACAGGUACGCCGCUGCAGAACUCGCUGAUGGAGCUCUGGUCGCUCAUGCACUUCCUCAUGCCCAGCGUGUUCCAGUCGCACCGCGAGUUCCGCGAGUGGUUCCACAACCCGCUGACGGGCAUGAUCGAGGGCAGCCAGGAGUACAACGAGAGCCUCGUCAAGAGACUGCACAAGCAGGUGGACCUGUCCCCGUUCGAGCUGGUGUCGCUGGAGGCGCACCUGUCGCGCUACGCGGCCGAUUGGUUCCUGCCGCUUCGGUCCCGGCGCCUCCUGGAGGACGUGGCCGCCGCCCCCGACCCCAGCCCCCAAACCUGCAUGAAGGUGAACAGGAUGCUGCAGCCGGUGCCGAAGGCGGAGCCUCGGGCGGUUCUGCUCCUCCCCGCCCCUCGCCCCGCCCCCGGGGGCGUGGCCUCGCCGAGCCCCGCCCCCUCCGCGCCAAGCCCCGCCCUCACCGCGCCAGCCCCGCCCCUUUGCUGGUACAAGCGCCGCCUCUCGUCACCCUAAGCCACGCCCCCAGCGCUGGCCCCGCCCCCUUGGUGACGACGCAAGGGGCGGGGCUUAACCUGGGGCUGGGAUUGGCGCUGGCCCCGCCCAGAGCCACGCCCACUCUGCUGGCUCCGCCCCCCGGAGGGCCCGCACAUGCUCUCCCGGCUGCUUCCUUGGCCACGCCCACUCCGGCGGGAGGCCCCGCCCCCGUGGCCACGCCCACCCCGAAUAUGGGCAAAGGGGCGGGGCCGGCCCCGCCCCCUCCCGUGGGGGGCGUGGCCACCUUCGCGCUGCCCCAGCGGCUCCUGCUGGCCCCGGACAUGCAGGCCCGGCUGCCCUCGGGAGAAGUCGUCAGCCUCGGCCAACUGGCCGCCCUGGCCCAGCACCGCCCCUCCCCGCCGGGGGGCGUGGCCAAAACCUCGCCCCUCCCACCUGCUGCCGUGGCCACGCCCCCCGCGGCCUCGGCCCCGCCCCCUCUGACGCUGCAGCUCCAGGGCAGCAAAGUCACGCUUGGCCCCGCCCCCCCAUUACGUCACCUGGCCUUGGCCCGGCCCCCCGGCCGGGGGCUCGCACGUGAGUCCAAAAUUUGGGGGAAAUUCGGGGAAUUUUGGGAAUUUGGGGAAAAAAAUUGGGAAUUUUUGGUAGUUCUGAGAACUUUAGGAAAAAAAU